rnacentral:rRNA from 1 species
AAGUUUGUUGUGAUUAAGGUUAAAUUAAUAUGAUCUGUAAAAUAAUAAAUUAUUAGAGUAAGGAAUACUGAAAUUAUAAAUUUAUGUAACUGUAAAGGAGUUAUGAAAGAAAGUUAAGUUUAAAUAGAAGAAAUAAAAUUAUGUACCUUUUGUAUCAGGGUUUAUUAAAUAUCAGCAAGAAUUUGGGUAUCUCGAUUUAAAGAGAGCUAAUUUUUUGGGGAGUUUAAGGUAGUAAACUUAUUUUAAACAAAAAGUUAGUAGUGAAAUGCUAGUCGAUCUUUAAGGUAUCUAGUUUCUUAAGAAAUAAAUUUAAUUUAGGUGACAUAUAUGACUACGCGUUUAUGUGUUUAAUUGGAGUGUGACUAAAUUUUUAGGGGAUAAGCUCUAAAAAAAAUUAUAAAACCUAUAAUUUUUGGAAUGGUAGGCUUAGAAGUAGCCACUAGGAAAGUGUUUUAACUCAUCUUUUUGUAGAAAAAUUUUAGAAAUUUUAAAUUUUUAUUAAGAUAACCUAAAAAAUUAAAACUUAGGUAUGAUAAUGAUAAAAUUAGUAUAUGGGUAAAUUUUUAUAAAGGAACUCGGCAAAUUUGUGCUCGCCUGUUUAUCAAAAACAUCGCCUUCAGAUAAAAUAGAAGGUCUUACCUGCCCACUGAAGAUUUAAAGGGCCGCGGUAUUUUGACCGUGCAAAGGUAGCAUAAUCAUUAGUCUCCUAAUUAGGGACUGGAAUGAAAGGUGGAACGAGGUACAAGCUGUCUUUAUAAGAAAAGAGAAUUUAACUUUUUAGUGAAAAGGCUAAAAUUAUAUUAGAGGACGAGAAGACCCUAUAGAACUUUAUAAAUAAACAAGUAACUUUUUAGAGAUAUUAUUUAAUUUAAAUUGGGAAUUUAUUACGUUGGGGUGAUGGGGCAAUAAAAAAACUUGCUUUUUUAUAACCACUUAUAUGUGAAUGUGAGAACCAUAUUUAAUGAUUAGAAAAUUAAGUUACCUUAGGGAUAACAGCGUAAUCUUCUUUGAGAGCUCAAAUCGACAAGAAGGAUUGCGACCUCGAUGUUGGAUUAAGGGUAAUCUAGGGUGUAGCAGCUCUAGAUUUAGGUCUGUUCGACCUUUAAAACCUUACAUGAUCUGAGUUCAGACCGGCGUGAGCCAGGUCGGUUUCUAUCCUUAGUUUACAAAAAUGUUUUAGUACGAAAGGACCAAACAUUUGGGAUUAUCCUUGAUUUAAGAAUACCAAUA